rnacentral:snRNA from 1 species
AUCGCUUCUUGGCCUUUUGGCUAAGAUCAAGCGUAGAAAGUAUUAAAUCAUUCAUAUAUAUAUAUAUAUAUUUUUUUUUUUUUUGUACCAGGGAUCAAACUCGGGUCCUUGGCCUGCGAGGCAGGCGGUGGAACCACUAAGCUAAAUCCCAGGCCCCCCGUU